rnacentral:rRNA from 1 species
AUGCAGGGGAUGACAGAAUCCAAACUGCAGGAUCUCGAGACAGAUGACAUCGAGGGCUUCCUUGGUGCGCCCGCCCUCUGUAGCUUCCUCUCUUCCUCCCUCACCAACUUGGCCUUUAUUAGGAACAAUGAGAUGACGUGCUUCACAAAGGAGCAGGAGGAGGCCUUUCAACGCCUCACCUCGCUCCAGGAACUCCAGUUUAUCAGUUGCAACAAGCUGGAGCACCUCCCUGCAAGGCUAAACAAGCUGCAACACCUCAAGAGAUUAGGCAUCUGGUGGUGUCCAGUUCUCCGGUCACCAAAGCCCAAGGAUGGCCUCCCAAGUUCGCUGCAAGAAUUACAACUGGUCCGUGCAUCACUUUCACCUUGUGGAAUUAUCCCCAUCUGUGGACAGUUGGCACAUGAGGUCCUGUGUGGUAUUUUCUUCAUGUCAAUACAUCUGGUUCUCUGUCUUGGGAGUUGUACACUUUUUAGCCUUGUUGAAUCCUCCCCAUCCAUACAAAGUCUGCACAUGAGGAUCUUGUGUUGUAUCUUCUUACUGUACAUAGUAGACAAAUCUGGACCUUUACAAGAAUACCCUUCAUACCAUCAUAGUGCUUGCGUGUUGCCUGGAGCCAGCCGAGAUAUCAGAUGUGGCAUGUGGACAAGUUUGGAAUUCAACAAUUAA